UAACCUUAAUGUGCUCCACUCUUGAAAUAUUGAUAAGGAGGUCUUGAACAACGUAAUCUUUGUCAUAGGAAAUUUCAAAAGAGUUACAAAUACAAAAAAUGAAGGCUGUUGGUAUUUUCUUGGCUCUUUCAAUGUUUUUGUUCGUAGACUGUUCUCACAAACGACUCAUAGAUCCUAUCAGAAACGGGUAUAAAGACAGAUGCGCAGAAAUCAUGGCUUUAAAUGAAAAUGACUGUGGUAUUUCCGGCCUAUGGACAAAUCAGUUAAAAUCUGUCAUGGAAUUCACGUGUAAGAAUGGACACCUUAGUGGACGAUACAAUACAGCUAUUGGCAAUGCAGACGACUACUACAAUCUAACAGGAAAGUAUACAAUGUCCGGUCCUAAUGGCAGCGACUGUGUAAUGGGAUGGGUUGUUACAUACAACAAUGAUGUUUUCGGGAAUUCUAACUCGACAUGUGCCUGGUCGGGUAUACAUUAUGGUCAUGAGCACAUCAUCAGGACGCAUUGGGUACUCACACAUUGGGCGCCGCUGGAAGAUACAUGGAGAACAACGACAAUUAACCACGAUGACUUUGUUAGUUUAUGUUAAGACGGUUACAAAUCAAGCAUACCUUUCAGAAAAUGGACAAGUGUACCAUAUUGUACAUUUAUACUUAUUUGUGAUAUAAACAAUAAAGUUCUUGUAUAAAG